GACGAACGCUGGCGGCGUGCUUAACACAUGCAAGUCGAACGGAAAGGCCUUUUCGGUGGUACUCGAGUGGCGAACGGGCGCGUAACACGUGGGUGAUCUGCCCUGCACUCUGGGAUAAGCCUGGGAAACUGGGUCUAAUACCGGAUAGGACCGACCUUUAGUGUGUGUGGUGGAAAGUUUUUUCGGCGUAGGAUGAGCCCGCGGCCUAUCAGCUUGUUGGUGGGGUAAUGGCCUACCAAGGCGGCGACGGGUAGCCGGACGGAGAGGUUGGUCGGCCACAGUGGGACUGAGAGGCGGCCCAGACUCCGACGCGAGGCAGCAGGGGGGAAGAUUGCACCAUGGGCGCAAGCCUGAUGCAGCGACGCCGCGGUGGGGAGGACGGCCUUCGGGUUGUAAACGCCUUUCGCCAGGGACGAAGCGUUUUGUGACGGUACCUGGAGAAGAAGCACCGGCUAACUACGUG
rnacentral:rRNA from 1 species